rnacentral:rRNA from 1 species
UGUAAGCGUAUACCAAAGUUGUUGCAGUUAAAACGCUCGUAGUCGGAACUUGGCAGUUCCGGAAGUGUGCACGUCGUGUGCGCACUUUGCAGGGACUGCUUUUGUGGUCUUGCGUAGGAUGAGGCACUUUUAUUAGUGAACGUCCUCACGCAACCACUCUUUACUGUGAGAAAAUCAGAGUGCUCAAAGCAGGCAUUUGCCGUGAAUGCAUUAGCAUGGAAUAAUAGAAUAGGACUCGGUUCUAUUUUGUUGGUUUGUUGGGACUGAGUAAUGAUUAAGAGGGACAGUUGGGGGCAUUUGUAUUUCGGCGCUAGAGGUGAAAUUCUUAGAUUGCCGAAAGACAAACUGCUGCGAAAGCGUCUGCCAAGGAUGUUUUCAUUGA